ensembl:lncRNA
CGGGGCUUUGUGGCCCAGGACCCCGGCCCUGAGAGCGGCCCGCCGCCCGGGGCGAGGGGUCGGUGCGCCUCGGCGGGCGGCCUUCGCAGGAAUGCCAAAAAUGCGCUAAUUGUGCCCUGCCGCGCCUCCGGGAUUAGGGGUAGCCGUCUUUUAGGAAACGGGAGCGUGGCUCGACCGAUAGCGAAGGGCUGCGCCCCGCGUCCCCCCGGCCCUUGGGUUCGGUGCGGCGAUCCGGCGGUUCCUGGCAUCGCCCUGCGCGCCGGGAUCUGAAGUUGGAACAAAAAGGUCCCCAUGGAAACAGGGAGUCAUCUAUCAGUACCGCGUUCGGUACGCCACGAGAAAGGGGCUUUUGUCCCGACGGUAUUUACUACUGCUUAAUUUCUCUCUCUUUUUUUUUUUUCCCCCCUUUACAUUCCACAGCCCGGUCCUGCCAUGUUUGUGGGGAGAGUUGGGCCGCGCCGCCCGGCCUCUCCCCAUGCGCGUGUGUGUGAGGCCUAAAACAAAGCGGCCGUGUCAAAGUGCCCCUGGUGAGAUGGAAGGGCUCCCGGCGGGCGGGAGGGCUCCCGCAUCCCGACGUUAUUUCUUCCAGGAGCAGUGGAAGCGUUUGGAUCCCUCCUUGCAAACUUUUGUGUCGCGGUAUCUCCGCUGUCAGCCUCCCGGGUUGGAGCUGCGGGGAUAUCCAGCAUUUGGAUUUUCCCCUCUUUGCCGAAGUACCUUUGUGAAGUCCUGAGCUGAGAGCGGCGGAACGGAGCAAAGCGCUCAAAAUCAGCGUUGAUAGCUUAGCGUGGGGUGUGUGGAUGCAUUGUCAGUGCCUGCGCAGAAACAGAACGGUGCUUUAAUGCAGGAAUGGAAACUAAAACGUCCCAGAAGCUCACGUGUGCACAACAACGUGGGAAGGGCUCCCCGCUAAAGGAUGUGUCACGUCUAACUGUAAAAAAAAACCUGACAGAACGAAGCACUAAGCGUGUCGUAGCACUAAGUUACCUCCUUGCAUUGGGAAGGGAUCGUUCCCUUUGGUAGUUUUCAAUAUGUAAUGUUCUCGGUCUUUUAAAGGGCUUUGUCUGGCUGCAGCAUCCGUCUGCCGUGUGAGCUGAGCAGAAAGCGACCACUUUGCUGAUGGUCUUUUUGAAUGCACGUGGUUUAUAGCUCCUAAGGUGGUGCUUGUAAAGCACCCUGCUUGCUGGGGUGGGGGUUGCUCCAGGUUAGGGGACUCACUGAGGUGCAUUUCCCAUAUAGGGGCUGUGAGGUUUUCCAAGCGCCCUCCGAAUGUACUGUGAAGUGACACGGCUCACUCUUCCCUUCUGCAGACAUUUGGAUUCUUCUCCUAUAACUGAAUCACGUGCAUGCAUACACGCCAAGAAGAGUAAAGCUCGGUGAGUUGUGCGGAGCUCUCUGGAGGCAGCAAGGGGAAGAAAUGACAACCAGAAGGAAACCGGAGGUGGAUGCAAGGGAUGCAUCGUUGUGGAACAGAAAAUUGGUUCUCCAAACAAACUGCUCCAAGUGAGUGGAUGGAUGGGGAGAUGUCUGACAUUAACAACAUGUAACUGCUUUCUGAAAACCCUGGGAUACCUGAAAGCCUUAAGAAGGAGUGCUGCUGCAGUUGCAAAGCGAUAGAAUGAAGUCAAUACCCAAAAUGAUGCUGCAGCCACAUCUGGAGUUUGCUUCAGGUGGAGUGCUUUAUCUCUCUGAAAGGGAACGUCGCACAUCUCGGGGUCGUCUUAAAGAGAAACAGAAGAUGCAGAGGAGUACAUCCGAGAAAAGCACUUUAUUCCCUCAGCACAGAUUGACUCCCCAGGUCCCACCUGGAGCAGAACUUUCCCUGCAGUUCCCCCAGCACAGCUCUGGUACAUCCGUGCAGGAUUGGACUUACUGAGGGGUUUGCCUUCAUUUCUCCUUCUGCCCACUUUGGGGUGCCCGCAUUACCUGCAGCCACACGUCCUGCAUUGCUGCCUUGCCUCUGUUGUACCGCAUUCUGCUGAAAAAUACAUAGAAUGAAAAUGAUUUCCCACUUGUAAGGGCAGAAUAAAUAGAAAUACUUGCAGAUAAUGAUGCAGUUUUUUCCUCAGUGUCACCGAAAAACUUAACUCGGUUUUGUUUUCUCAAUCAUCCCUCUGUGUUUGCACUUCUCUGUUAAACAGCAACUGAGAACAAACCGAGAAUAAAAGUGGAGAGCGUUUUUAUUACAAAGGAUUUCACCUUUCUGUCAUUUUUGUACUAAAACAGAUCUGAAACUGCCAUCCACCUCUUCAGUUCAAUUUUUGUUUCACUGCAUUGGAGAAACUUUUAUAUAGAAAAACAAGAGAUGGAUAACCUUUAUUUCUCUGCAUUUUCUGUGUGUCCUCUCCUAAAUGAGACCAAUCUACGCAUGGAAUGGGGAAUUACUUGUGGUCAGAAAUAAACAGCAAUGGCAUGAAGUUUGAGGCUAUUUUCCCUUCUUUUACAGCAUUGAUUGCUGUAACGCAUAACGUAACGUUUGCUGUAUACCUGAUAUGCUGUGAGGGGUCACCACAAACUGAUGUCUUUUUAAGAGCUCUUUGACAAUUUAUUAUGGACACGUUUAUUAGAACAAAAUGCAAAGGUAAAGAGCAAAAGCUGCUCUGUCUCCUGUUUACUUCUGUAGUUCAGUGGAUGUGUAAAAGCGCUGAAUUCUGCACUCAGCCUUCAGCAGGCUGCAAUUCAACUUCUGUGCAGCAACUCCAUGCAAUUGCUAUACGCUUCGAUUCUGAGACUUCCUUCCACUUUCAGUGACAUUGGGGCACUGAAAAAGUUAAAGGAACUCAUCCUUUCACAGCUCUGAGUUCUUGGUGUAUUUCUGCCGGGUGGGUAAAGUCCUGAAAUCCGGAGAUAAGUGCUCCAACUGACCCUGAAAUCUGGAUAGAAGUCGUCUCCCUGACAAUGCAGCUACUUGCAUGAGCAAACGACCCAAGUUGUGUGCACAGGGUAGGGCCCCAUGCAAUAUAGAAAUGCUAUGUUGAAAAUGCUUCCCACAUUAGCUACCUCAGUAAUAGCUUUUGAAUCUUUUUUCACGCCAAUACCUAUUGUGUCAAGAUGGAGG